GACGAACGCUGGCGGCGUGCUUAACACAUGCAAGUCGAGCGGUAAGGCCCUUUCGGGGUACGACGAGCGGCGAGCGGGUGGAGUAACACGUGGGUGGACCUCGCCCUCCAGCUCUGGGAGUAAGCCCGGGAAACCGUGGGUCGUAAUACCGGAUAUGACUCCAUGACGCAUGUUGUGGGGUGGGAAAGACCUUGUGCGGCUGAGGAUGGGCCCGCGGCCUAUCAGCUUGUUGGUGGGGUGGAUGG
rnacentral:rRNA from 1 species